AUUGAACGCUGGCGGCAGGCCUAACACAUGCAAGUCGAACGGCAGCACAGAAGAGCUUGCUCUUUGGGUGGCGAGUGGCGGACGGGUGAGUAAUGUCUGGGAAACUGCCCGAUGGAGGGGGAUAACUACUGGAAACGGUAGCUAAUACCGCAUAACGUCGCGAGACCAAAGUGGGGGACCUUCGGGCCUCACACCAUCGGAUGUGCCCAGAUGGGAUUGGGUAGUAGGUGGGGUAAUGGCUCACCUAGGCGACGAUCCCUAGCUGGGCUGAGAGGAUGACCAGCCACACUGGAACUGAGACACGGUCCAGACGCCUACGGGAGGCAGCAGUGGGGAAUAUUGCACAAUGGGUGCAAGCCUGAUGCAGCCAUGCCGCGUGUAUGAAGAAGGCCUUCGGGUUGUAAAGUACUUUCAGCGGGGAGGAAGGCGGUGAGGUUAAUAACCUCGCCGAUUGACGUUACCCGCAGAAGAAGCACCGGCUAACUCCGUGCCAGCAGCCGCAGUAA
rnacentral:rRNA from 1 species